AGUGAACGCUGGCGGUAGGCCUAACACAUGCAAGUCGAACGGCAGCACAGUAAGAGCUUGCUCUUACGGGUGGCGAGUGGCGGACGGGUGAGGAAUACAUCGGAAUCUACUUUUUCGUGGGGGAUAACGUAGGGAAACUUACGCUAAUACCGCAUACGACCUACGGGUGAAAGCAGGGGAUCUUCGGACCUUGCGCGAUUGAAUGAGCCGAUGUCGGAUUAGCUAGUUGGCGGGGUAAAGGCCCACCAAGGCGACGAUCCGUAGCUGGUCUGAGAGGAUGAUCAGCCACACUGGAACUGAGACACGGUCCAGACUCCUACGGGAGGCAGCAGUGGGGAAUAUUGGACAAUGGGCGCAAGCCUGAUCCAGCCAUACCGCGUGGGUGAAGAAGGCCUUCGGGUUGUAAAGCCCUUUUGUUGGGAAAGGAAGGCAGCAGGUUAAUACCCCGCUGUUCUGACGGUACCCAAAGAAUAAGCACCGGCUAACUUCGU
rnacentral:rRNA from 1 species